rnacentral:tRNA from 1 species
GAGGGUAUAGCUCAAGUGGCAGAGCACAUGCUUAGCAUGCAUGAGGUCAUGGGUUCAAUCCCCAGUACCUCCU